rnacentral:rRNA from 1 species
AUGGCUUCCGCCGAGCUAGGGUCGGAGUCGGACGGGUAUGGCUUCCCCUGCGGCGGCGACGACGGCGCGACGGCGGCGCUCUCGCCGGCGGUGGUCGUGUCGGUGCUCGCGUCUCUGCUGGAGCGGCACAUCGCGCGCAACGAGAGGGCCUUGGCCGGCGCCCAUGGCCAUGCGGCGUCCGGCGAGGACGCGAGGAGGGCCGCGGCCUUCGACGGCGGCACGGUGCUGGACAUGGGCAUGCGGGAGUUCCUGGAGCGGUUCUCCCGGUACGCGCACGUGUCGCCGCAGGUGUACGUGGUGGCGUACGCCUACCUGGACCGGCUCCGCCGCGGCGGCGACGGCGCCGGGGCGGUGCGCGUCGUGGCGACCAACGCGCAGCGCCUGCUCACCGCGGCCAUCCUGGUGGCCUCCAAGUUCGUGGAGGACAGGAACUACAAGAACUCCUACUUCGCGGCGGUGGGCGGGCUGGGCGCGGCGGAGCUGAGCUCGCUGGAGCUGGACUUCCUCUUCCUGAUGCGGUUCCGGCUCAACGUCAGCGUGAGCGUGUUCCGGAGCUACUGCCGGCACCUGGAGAGGGAGGCGGGCCACGGCGGCGGGUACCAGGUCGAGAGGUGCCUUGAGAAGGCCCUCCUCGUCUCCUCCGGGGAGGCGCGGCGGCAGCACCGGCAGCCGCCAGCGGCGGCGGCAGCUCAGUAA